CUCAGAUCGCAUGGCCUUGCGCCGGCGACGGUUCAUUCAAAUUUCUGCCCUAUCAACUUUCGAUGGUAAGGUAUUGGCUUACCAUGGUUUCAACGGGUAACGGGGAAUUAGGGUUCGAUUCCGGAGAGGGAGCCUGAGAAACGGCUACCACAUCCAAGGAAGGCAGCAGGCGCGCAAAUUACCCAAUCCCGACACGGGGAGGUAGUGACAAUAAAUACUGAUACAGGGCUCUUUUGGGUCUUGUAAUUGGAAUGAGUACAAUUUAAACCUCUUAACGAGGAACAAUUGGAGGGCAAGUCUGGUGCCAGCAGCCGCGGUAAUUCCAGCUCCAAUAGCGUAUAUUAAAGUUGUUGCAGUUAAAAAGCUCGUAGUUGAACCUUUGGCCUGGCUGGCAGGUCCGCCUCACCGCGUGUACUUGUCCGGCCGGGCCUUUUCUUCUGGAGAACCGCAUGCCCUUCACUGGGUGUGUUGGGGACCAGGACUUUUACUUUGAAAAAAUUAGAGUGUUCAAAGCAGGCCUUUGCUCGAAUACGUUAGCAUGGAAUAAUAGAAUAGGACGUGCGGUCCUAUUUUGUUGGUUUCUAGGACCGCCGUAAUGAUUAAUAGGGACAGUCGGGGGCAUCAGUAUUCAAUUGUCAGAGGUGAAAUUCUUGGAUUUAUUGAAGACUAACUACUGCGAAAGCAUUUGCCAAGGAUGUUUUCAUUAAUCAGUGAACGAAAGUUAGGGGAUCGAAGACGAUCAGAUACCGUCGUAGUCUUAACCAUAAACUAUGCCGACUAGGGAUCGG
rnacentral:rRNA from 1 species